ACAAGAAGACAAAGGCAACAUAGAUACAGCAUCUGGAUUGGAGAAUAGAUCCCACUUGGGUGAAACCUCUCAACCACAUUGGUACAACCUCCCAACCAAUCCUUAAGACUAGUGGUGAUGUUAGUAAAUGAGAUCACCUAUAAGUCCGGAAAGUCUGGGACUUUCCACCUUCGCCAAGAUAUAGGGAAUGAGAUCAUGCCAGUAGCCAAGAGGCCCCUAUAGGUUUUCUAGAAACUGCAAUUAGCUACUGAGAUCCUAUGGAUGGCGCUAGAUGCUAGCAGCAAACUGCAGGUGUCCAGAAA